CCUACGGGAGGCAGCAGUGAGGAAUAUUGGUCAAUGGGCGCAAGCCUGAACCAGCGACGCCGCGUGCGGGAUGAAGGGGCUUUGCCUCGUAAACCGCUGUCGGGUGGGACGAAAGGUAGCUUUGAGCUACUGGGACGGUACCAUCAAAGGAAGGAUCGGCUAACUACGUGCCAGCAGCCGCGGUAAUACGUAGGAUCCGAGCGUUGUCCGGAGUUACUGGGUGUAAAGGGUGCGUAGGCUGUUCUGUGCGUCAGAGGUGAAAUCCACGAGCUUAACUCGUGGGGUGCCUUUGAUACGGCAGGGCUUGAGUACGAGAGAGGUGCGUGGAAUUCCUGGUGUAGCAGUGAAAUGCGUAGAUAUCAGGAGGAACACCGGUGGCGAAGGCGGCGCACUGGCUCGUAACUGACGCUGAGGCACGAAAGCGUGGGGAUCAAACAGGAUUAGAUACCCUGGUAGUCCACGCCUUAAACGAUGCAUGCUUGGUGUUGGUCUCGCAAGAGAUCAGUGCCGUAGUUAACAUGAUAAGCAUGCCACCUGGGGAGUACGAUCGCAAGGUUGAAACUUAAAUGAAUUGACGG
rnacentral:rRNA from 1 species